AGCGGCAGGCUUAACACAUGCAAGUCGAGGGGCGAGCGCGGGAGCGAAUCGUCUGGCGGCGACCGGCGGAAGGGUGAGUAACGCGUGAGCAACAUGCCCCGUGAAGGAGGAUAGUCACUGGAAACGGUGCGUAAUACUCCAUAACAUAUGGUGAGACAUCUCAUUAUAUUGAAAGAUUCAUUGUCACGGGAUUGGCUCGCGUCUGAUUAGGUAGUUGGCGGGGUAACGGCCCACCAAGCCGACGAUCAGUAGGGGUUCUGAGAGGAAGGUCCCCCACAUUGGAACUGAGACACGGUCCAGACUCCUACGGAGGCAGCAGUGAGGAAUAUUGGACAAUGGCCGGAAGGCUGAUCCAGCCAUGCCGCGUGAUGGACUAAGGCCCUAUGGGUCGUAAACAUCUUUUGUUUGGGAGCAAUAAGGUGGUCGUGACCACCGAUGAGAGUACCAUACGAAUAAGCAUCGGCUAACUCCGUGCC
rnacentral:rRNA from 1 species